GGUCAAGCUACUUAGGGCGCGCGGUGGAUGCCUUGGUAUCAGACGCCGAUGAAGGACGUGGUAAGGCUGCGAUAAGCUUCGCCUAGCUGCCAAACAAGCUUAAGCGGAGAUCUCCGAAUGGGGUAACCCAGCCCGGCAAAACCGGGCUACUCCGGACUGAACACAUAGGUCCGGUAGAGGGCACCGGGGGAACUGAAACAUCUAAGUACCCCGAGGAAAAGAGAGUAUUCCCCUAGUAGCGGCGAGCGAACGGGGAGAAGCCCAAACCGCCAGGGUUCGCCCUGGCGGGGUUGUAGGGCCUGCCUGCUUUGAAGGCAAGGAGUUAUCAAUCACACGCGUAGAAGAACGGCCCUGGAACGGCCGGCCAAAGAGGGUGAGAGCCCCGUAAACAAAACGCGCUGUGGCUCCUGGCGGGUACCUGAGUACCACGGGACACGUGAAACCCCGUGGGAAUCUGGGGAGACCACUUCCCAAGGCUAAAUACGUCUGAUGACCGAUAGUGAACCAGUACCGUGAGGGAAAGGUGAAAAGUACCCCGGGAGGGGAGUGAAAGAGAUCCUGAAACCGCGUGCCUACGUGCAGUUGGAGCCCGUUACGGCGGGUGACAGCGUGCCUAUUGAAGAAUGAGCCGGUGAGUUACUGUAUGUGGCAAGGUUAAGCAAGGUGACUUGUGGAGCCGUAGCGAAAGCGAGUCCGAACAGGGCGAUUGAGUCGCAUGUAGUAGACGCGAAACCUGGUGAUCUACCCAUGGGCAGCGUGAAGUCCAGGUAAAACUGGAUGGAGGCGCGAACCUUCUAACGUUGCAAAGUUAUUGGAUGACCUGUGGGUAGCGGUGAAAUGCCAAGCGAACCAGGAGAUAGCUCGUUCUCCCCGAAAUGCAUUUAGGUGCAGCGUCAUGUGAUCUCCAUCGGAGGUAGGGCUCUGAAUGGGCUAGGGGGCUUACCGCUUACCAAACCCAAUCAAACCGCGAAUGCCGUUGGACAAAACAUGGCAGUGAGACAGUGGGGGCUAAGCUUCAUUGUCGAAAGGGAAACAGCCCAGACCACCAGCUAAGGUCCCGAAGUCCAUGCUCAGUGUAAAAGGAUGUUGAAUCGCAAAGACAGCCAGGAGGUUGGCUUAGAAGCAGCCACCCUUUAAAGAGUGCGUAAUAGCUCACUGGUCGAGUGGUUCUGCGCCGACAAUUCAACGGGGCUAAGCAUGGCACCGAAGCUGUGGGUCAGCCGCAUUAUGCGGCUGGCGGUAGGGGAGCGUUUGCUUCCGCAGAGAAGGGGAAGCCGUGAGGCACCCUGGAGCGAAGCGAAGUGAGAAUGCCGGCAUGAGUAGCGUAAGGUGCGUGAGAACCGCACCCCCCGUAUACCUGAGGUUUCCUACGGAAGGUUAAUCCGCGUAGGGUUAGUCGGGCCUAAGCCGAGGCCGAAAGGCGUAGGCGAUGGACAGCUGGUUAGUAUUCCAGCACCGCGAUGGUAGCGUUUGAUGCAGAGGAAGGACCCAGGAGGGUAGAUUCCGCGGGCCUAUUGGACAUGGUCCGUUCUUGGUCUGUAGGCGUCCGGUUGCAGGUAAAUCCGCAGCCGGGUUAAGCAGAGGGGCCGAGAGAAGUGGAGACAUUGUCAAAGCGACGGAGUUGAGCCCACGCUGGCUAGAAAAGUUUCGCUGCUAGUUACCAAUGCGCCCGUACCGCAAACCGACACUGGUAGGUGAUGGUGAGAACCAUAAGGGGAUCGGGAGAACCUUCGUUAAGGAACUCGGCAAAUUAGAUCCGUAACUUCGGGAGAAGGAUCGCCCUCGGCUGUGUACCGGCUUGCCCGGGAAGCAGAAGGGGGCCGCAGUGAGCAGGCCCAGGCGACUGUUUAUCAAAAUCACAGGUCUCUGCAAAAGCGAAAGCUGACGUAUAGGGGCUGACGCCUGCCCAGUGCCGGAAGGUUAAG
rnacentral:rRNA from 1 species